AGUUGUUGAGAAUCAUUAGCUCUUAUUAACAAGUUAUUUACAACUUUGCAAGUUCUUGCUAUUCCAUCUAUUUACAAGAUUCGGCCCCAGCCCAUCAUUUAUGACUUUGGCACAAUUGUUCCUGAAGUUGAAACAUCAUUUUAACACUUAUUCACGACCAUUCUCAAUCAAAGAAUUCAAAAGUUAAUUUUUAAAGAUAUUAAUUAAUAAAGGACAAUCACCAAUGAACUAAUUUGUCUACUCACCUUAGCUUCAUCAAUCAGUUAAAAUGACACAUAAAGAGAACUCAAUAACAAUCAUUCAAACAAAAAAAAAUCGUUAUCCAAGCUGAGUAGAGAAACUUAAUAUACUAUGACUAUCAGGAAACAACGUUCAAAACAUUUCAUUCAAGCAUUAGAUGAGGAGCUUUUUUUUGCACUUUGUACAUGUGGAUUACAAAUCACAAAAGAAAAGAACUUAUAGAACUUUAUUACAAUCAACACCAAGGCCACGCCCAAUUGAAUUUGCAAGGACAUUCAUAUGAAUUCAUUUUUUAUAACUCUAAGCAUAUCCGAGCUACUUCUUAAUUACAUGAUCCAACCUUUCCUUUUCAACUGCGUGACAUUCAAACAUGAUAGCACAAAAUCCAGAAUGAAGGGACAAUAACAUGCUUUCAAGGAAUUUCCAAACAUAUUGAGAAAGUAGGUCUAGCCAGCUAUAAGUCAAAUUUGCAGACUCUUCAUAUUAAGCAGGCUAUUGACAUAAAUUUAUCAAUCAUAACAUACACUGAAUAAACAAGGCAACCUUUACAUACAAAGACUUCAACGUCAAACCUCAUAACAUACACCAAAUAAUGGUGUUGAGCAACAGAUUUGCAAGCAGAAAAGUAGAAGAAUUACCUCACCAUUCCAGACAUUUUCCAAAUGAUACACAAUAACACAUCUAUUGCACACAUAGGAUGACCGAAAUUAAAAUUUUGGCAGAUGCACUAAAUUAGACAAAAGAAUUAAAAUAUCUGAAUCAUUUAGUGAAAAGCAAUAUAGGGAGGUGUAGAGCUUACCUAAUUGAGCUUAGAUAACAACAGUUAAGAGCCUAAACUAGGCUGAAACAACUACGAUUUGGAGCUCAACCACAAAUUGAAAGGAGAACAACAACUAAAGCAAUGAAUCCAACCAAAUCCACCACGAAUUUCAAACCCAAAAUGGCAGUUUCGACAACGACACGGUCGUUCAAUCCAAAUCUAUUUUUUGAACAAAAUCCGAAAUUGGGAAACAAGGAUAUGGAAAUGUUUCCCUAUAUUGUUUUUUUAUUUCGAAAUGGAAACAGAAACUAGAGCGAAGAACUGAGCUCAAACCCUUUUUUUUUAUGAUUUUUGUAUUUUUGUUCUAGGAAUUGAAAGGAAAAUUCUGACAUUAAUCCAAAACAAAAAAAAUAGAAUCAAGAAGAAAAAAAAUCCUUUCCCCAUAUUUUCGAAUUUCAGUCCCAAAAUCUCCUAAAUUGUCUCCAAAAAUUCCCUAGAAUUUUUCUCAUCCCCCCCGACUGUCCCAAUUUCUUCUAUGGCUUAUUGUGUGUGUGUGUGUGUGUGUGUU
rnacentral:lncRNA from 1 species